UAAAGCCAAAUGAAUUCAAGCCAUUACGUACCAUAUGACAUCAUCUAUAAAGAAAAGACAUCCAAAGAGAAAGUAAAAUUUAUUUCCCGUACUAUAAAUAAUAGUGCUGCUCUCGUCUUUCUUCAUUCAAACACAACACUACACACAUUUGUUCAUAUAUAAAUAUUUCUCUUUAACUCUCACCACCAAUUUACAAAACAAAAGAUAGAAAUUGUCACCUUUUUCUCUCAUUCAAGACAUAUGCUUAUUAUAUGAUUUAUAUGCUAUAUAUGAAUCUUAGAAAGCUAUCUUCAAAUUCUUCACUUACUUCAUCAUAAAAUCAAGCCAUAUUUGAGGAUUCCUUGUGAGAGCAUUCACAACAGGUUCAUACCAGUCUCUGGUACAUCAAUGAUUUCUUCUGGUUCCCUACAACAAUUAUGACUCCCAAGCAAUGAAACUCAAGAAGAGAAAAAAACUAUAUUCAAAAGGGAAGCUCCAUACAACAAUUAUGAUUUCCUUGAUUAAUAAGAGGUGGUAUUGCUAUGCCAAGACAAUGGCAGAAAAGAAUGCCGUGGAAAUUGCAAAAAGAGAUGCCCUUGAUCUAAUUAGCAUUUGCCUUACUCAUGUUAUGGGACCAUUGUCAAAGUCACCCACUAAUGCUAAUGUUGCAUAUAGAAUUUUUGGUGGUCAAAUGAAGGGUAAGUAUUGGCCAAUUGUGGACGUGAGGGACGUAGCAAAUGCAUUACUUUUGGCUUACGAGAAUCCUAUAGCCAAAGGGAGAUACAUAUCCACGUCCCACACUAUAACCGAAAAAGAUCCGAGAGAGAAGAUGAGGAUUUUAAAUCCCAACUUAAACUUACCCCCACAAUGUGCAUCGAAGAUGAUGAUAUCUAUGAGAAGGUGAAUAGCUAUGUUGAUGAGGAGGAUGUUAAACGGCAGCUGAGCUCUAUGAAACUGCAGAUAGAUUUGGAUUUGAGGUUUAAGCCGAUCGAGGAGACAUUGGCUGAUAGUUUUAGAAAUAUUAACAUAAUGCGGCGCUAUAAACCAGAGAGAGCGCUAUGUCGUAUAUUUCAUAACUUAAUUUUUAUAAUAAGAAUUUAUGUUUGGUUUCCAAACAGUGUCUGUUUGCUAGUGACAAGUGCUACAGCAGACCCAUUCAUGCUUACUUAUGCUUGUACGCAAUCCUCAUAUCUUAGGGUUAAUAUGAUUGAAUCUCAUAUAUAUUUCACGGUUAUACAUGCUAUACAUUUUCUUAAGCAAGUGUUUGCGCAUAUCAGGUUAAUUAUGUAGCCAGAUUUGGUAUUACGAGUCGGAAUUCUCUCAAAAUUCAAAGCGAAGGUUGAAGAGUUGGACUUCUCUCAGAAUUUAAAGCGAAGGUUGAAGAUGCUGCUUGUAUUUUGUAUAUUAAACUGUAAGUUACUGUUAGCUUGAGAUUAGGGAUUAUGCAGGCCAUUUUCACAAAUGAGCCUACAUCAACUUAGGCAUGUGCAGCCUGAAUGGUAAAACGGGCCCUUGACACUAGUUAUAAGCAAAUUAAAUUAUUAUAAUAUAUGUAGCAUUAUGAAAUAUGAUUAUUGUGUUAAUAAAAGCAUGGUGGGGUUUUGUUUCGUUUCGGUUCUCCUCUCUACACUUUUGUAAUUUAAUCUUGCAAUUUUUUCUUCAGUCUAAUAGAAAAUAUUGCUCAAUUAUAUUUGAGACAAGAAUAAAUUUAACUUAAUCAUUCAAGUAAAACAUCUUUGGAAUACAUGAUGCAAAAUCAGAAAGCUGAAACUACAACAUCAAAACAUCUUUAAAAUUCAAACUAAUCUUGAGUCAAGGCAUUGUUGGAUUGCCGAGAUUUCAUGAGCCACUUGAUUCCCUUUUAGAAAAAAAAAAUCAAACAGUUUAAGCAUAAAACAACGGUCAUAUUUCUUUAACAAAUAGAAACAUAAAUUCAACAUGAAAAUGAAAAUAAAGGAUAUUAAUGGUUAGCAGUUUUGUGACUUGGUAUAUAGGAUAUUGAAGAAUGUCGAAGAAAUAAUCAGCGCCAUUUCAAGCUACUUCAGCUAAUAAAAAUUUUCUGUUCUCACUUUAUUCGACAAGUUAUGAUGAACAUGCAGUGAGGAUAAUAAUGGCUUUCUACUUUUUCCCGAAUCACUUUUUUAAUUCAAAAUAAAAAAAGUUCUCAUAUGCCAAUGUAUUGUCUUAUCCAGUCUUUUUCAUGAUGAAUUCACAUAUGCUUUGUAAAAGAACUUUAUCCAUCCAAUUAACACCCAUAAUCUUAUCUUCCUCUUGUAAAGUUAAAAAGUAAACCAAAAUACAAAUAUGAUUCCCUUCUUUCUUUCAAUAUUUCCAUCCUAAUUUUUAAACCAUUAUUCAUUAAAUACCAAUCUACCAUAAUUUAAAGGUGAAUUAUAUCCAUUAUUUUACCAUUUCUUUCUCUUUUGGAAAUGAUAUUUAUUUAAUUAUUGAUUUAUUAUUAUAUGUUCUAACUUACAACCCUACGUUUUAAAUUAUAAAGAGUAGUUGGAUGGGUUAUUAAUUUUCUAGAUGUAUUUUUAGAUAAGUCUUAAGAACCAGUAAUGUGGCAAAUGUUGAAAUGGAUAUUUAAAGGAUGUUAAAUUAAAUCUGGUGGGGUUAUUAGUUUUCUAGAUGUGUGAGUAAAACUAUAAGGGAAGUAGUAAGUCAUCGCCACAAAAUUUGGCACAAACAUAAAAAAGCGAGAAAUAAUUGAAAAUAAUUAGUACUAGAAAAUAACUGGUAUUUCAAAUUCCUUACUAAAUUACUAUUUUUGAAUAAUAUUUUUAAAAAUUUUUUAAAAAAAUUAUGUAAUAUUUGUUAUAAAUAUUAAUGUUAUUGGAUACCAAUAUUAUUAUUUUUUAAUUUCUAAAAAAUAAAUUCAAAUUAACUUUAAUUAUUUUUUAAAAAGUUUCAAUAUGCACCCCCAGAGAUAAUUAUAUAAAGAGAACAGAAACACCAUUAUCCUACGAUUCAUUCUUCACAAGCUUUUGAGUUAAGCUCUGAGAACUACAGACACAUUAUUACAGAAACACCCUAAAUCUCCUAUCAAUUUCCUUGGAUCAUCUGGUAAUUUCACUCGCUCUCACUUUCAUUACUCAUCAUCAUUCUUCAUCAUUACACCACGCACGCUGUUCCUUUCAGCUCAGUUUAAUUGUUUGUUUUCGUCUUGUAAUUUGGCUUGGCUUAUUUAUUGGCUCGGCUUCUGUUUUUAUUACUUAUAAAACACCAACAUUACGAAAUUUCAUGAAACAGAACAAGACGAAGAACAAGUUAUGAUCAACAUGCAGUGAGGAUAAUAAUGGCUUUCUACUUUUUCCCUUUUUAGUGAAUCACUUUUUUAAUUCAAAAAAAAAAAAUCGCAUGCCAAUGUAGUACUAUUGUCUUAUCAAGUUUUUUUCAUGAUGAAUUCACAUAUGCUUUGUAAUAGUAAAGCAAGAAACAUGAUGCACAUACACAGGGAUAUAAAUUAAAGCAAAUCAGUUCCUUCAAACUCAACUCAAUCCAAAUCAAAGGAGAUCUCUUCUCAUUACAAUUACUUUUUCCUCUCAAUUCAAGCAAUGAAACUCAAGAAGAGAAAAAAAACUCUAUUCAAAAGGGAAGCUCCGUACAACAAUUAUGAUUUCCUUGAUUAAUAAAUAAGAUGGAUUUAAUGGUUCUUGGCUACUCAAUUUAUUGCUCUCGAAGGGAUAUUACGUACAUCCGACCACUAAAAACCAUAACCAGACUGUCUUACUAAAUGUCCACUAUUAAGCAAAAUAAUGACUACUUUUCCAAAUCAGCUUCGACUCUUUAAGUCAAAUAUUUUGGAUUAUAGCUCUAUUCUCCCGGCAGUUGUGGGAUGCAAAGGUGUUUUCCACCUUGCUUGUCCUAUUCCAUUUGGUCACAUUAAAAAUCCUUUGGAGGAAGUAAUUGAACCUGCGAUCCAAGAAACAUGCAAUCUACUUCAAGCUUGUAAAAUUGCUAAUGUCAAACGAAUAGUGUAUGUUUCAUCGAGGACUGUCAUAAUAAAAAAAAACCCUAUUUUCCAAAAACUGGACCCAUUAAUGAGUUAAGUUGGUCUAUUGGAGAUUUCUACCUAAAAUAUAAGAGGUGGUAUUGCUACGCCAAGACAAUGGCAGAAAAGAAUGCAGUGGAAAUUGCAAAAAGAGAUGCGCUUGAUUUAAUUAGCAUUUGUCCUACUCAUGUUAUGGGACCAUUGUCAGAGUCACCCACUAAUGUUAAUGUUGCAUAUAGAAUUUUUGGUACUAGGCCUAGAGUUUGUUUUCUAUAUAGUGAGUGAAAAUGAAAUAAAGUGGCGUAUCAGAGGGACGUAUUUUGUAGUUUGUGGACAUAGGUCACACAUAGUUGACCAUCAUCUAUACAUCUCUGACACAGUUCUCACAUAAUUUACAAAUAGAGCGUUUUUUUAAAAACUCCAUAAAUUUGGCUGCCGCAAUAAAAAUAAAAGCGAUUUACAUUUAAA